rnacentral:pre_miRNA from 1 species
UUGCUACUCCCUCUGUCCGAAAAUACUUGUCAUCAAGAUGAAUAAAAGGAGGUGUAUCUAGAUGUAUUUUAGUUCUAGAUACAUCCUUUUUUAUCCAUUUUGAUGAUAAAUAUUUCUGGACGGAGGAAGUACAUG